ACUCCUACGGGAGGCAGCAGUGGGGAAUAUUGCACAAUGGGGGAAACCCUGAUGUAGCCAUGCCGCGUGUGUGAAGAAGGCCUUCGGGUUGUAAAGCACUUUCAGUAGGGAGGAAGGUAGUGUAGUUAACACCUGCAUUAUUUGACGUUACCUACAGAAGAAGCACCGGCUAACUCCGUGCCAGCAGCCGCGGUAAUACGGAGGGUGCGAGCGUUAAUCGGAAUUACGUGGGCGUAAAGCGCAUGCAGGCGGCCUGUUAAGUCAGAUGUGAAAGCCCGGGGCUUAACCUCGGAAUUGCAUUUGAAACUGGCAGGCUAGAGUCUUGUAGAGGGGGUUAGAAUUUCAGGUGUAGCGGUGAAAUGCGUAGAGAUCUGAAGGAAUACCGAGUGGCGAAGGCGGCCCCUGGACAAAGACUGACGCUCAGAUGCGAAAGCGUGGGAGCAAACAGGAUUAGAUACCCCGUGGUAGACUGUCA
rnacentral:rRNA from 1 species